CAGCUGAGCUAUUGGCGCCAUACACCGGUGAUAUUGCAGCGGAAAGUAUUGGUAAGGUGGUACGGGGUGGAGCUAAUUUCCUGCGCUACAGAUUUCAACGCCAGCAACGUUAUGCCGCUGAAGCGAUCACUGAGGAGUGGCGCAUGGCGCCUGGCCCGCUGGAAGUCGCCUGGUUUGCAGAAGAAACGGCUGCCAUUGAGCGCGCCGUAGGUGAUCUAACUGUACGGCUGGAAAAACUGGAGGCCCAAUGA
rnacentral:sRNA from 1 species